UACGUAGGGUGCAAGCGUUAAUCGGAAUUACUGGGCGUAAAGCGUGCGCAGGCGGUGAUGUAAGACAGGUGUGAAAUCCCCGGGCUUAACCUGGGAACUGCAUUUGUGACUGCGUCGCUGGAGUGCGGCAGAGGGGGAUGGAAUUCCGCGUGUAGCAGUGAAAUGCGUAGAUAUCAAGUGGAACACCAGUGGCGAAGGCGAGUCCCUGGACGACUCCUGACACUGAGGCACGAAAGCUAGGGGAGCAAACAGG
rnacentral:rRNA from 1 species